rnacentral:rRNA from 1 species
GACGAACGCUGGCGGCGUGCUUAACACAUGCAAGUCGAACGGAAGGCCCUGCUUUUGUGGGGUGCUCGAGUGGCGAACGGGUGAGUAACACGUGAGUAACCUGCCCUUGACUUUGGGAUAACUUCAGGAAACUGGGGCUAAUACCGGAUAGGAGCUCCUGCUGCAUGGUGGGGGUUGGAAAGUUUCGGCGGUUGGGGAUGGACUCGCGGCUUAUCAGCUUGUUGGUGGGGUAGUGGCGUACCAAGGCUUUGACGGGUAGCCGGCCUGAGAGGGUGACCGGCGACGGUGGGACUGAGAUACGGCCCAGACGGGUACGGGAGGCAGCAGUGGGGAAUAUUGCACAAUGGGCGGAAGCCUGAUGCAGCAACGCCGCGUGCGGGAUGACGGCCUUCGGGGUGGAAACCGCUUUCGCCUGUGACGAAGCGUGAGUGACGGUAAUGGGUAAAGAAGCACCGGCUAACUACGUG